rnacentral:rRNA from 1 species
UGAAGUCGUACCGAAAGGAGCGGUGGACGAUGCAGAAGUGAGAAUGUUGGCAUAAGUAGCGAGAGCCAGGUGAGAAUCCUGGCGGUCGAAAACCUAAGGUUUCCUGAGGAAGGCUCGUCCGCUCAGGGUUAGUCGGGACCUAAGGCGAGGCCGAAAGGCGUAGUCGAUGGACAACAGGUUGAUAUUCCUGUACCGUUAGCAGACGUUAUUACAAACGGGGUGACGCAGGAGGAUAAGAUGUGCACACUAUUGGAUGUGUGUCUAAGCA